GAGAAUGCCAAGAGACAGCGGACGAUACAGGUCAUGGAGUUGCAUGAUCUCCCUAAACAGAGGCUUGUACAAAAAAAUCCACAUGCGAGACCUGGAAGCCGUAACCNNGGCACAUGCCCAUGGGCGGUGGCAACCUUCAUAGUUAUCUGCAAAUUGGGUGUCAUUUACAUUUCCAAGUUUCUUACUUUCCGAAAGUGGAAGGAUACUAAUUACUCUGGAGCAUACCUUGAUUUGAUCCAUGUGCAUCACCAAUAAGAACUCCAUAGAUUGAUCAUAGUAGAAACAAGGCCAUUCUGGAUUACAUGGAAACAAACAUUUGAAACUAUUGUCCUAUGUUCAACACAUUCAGGUGUAUACACUUCGUCUGAGGAAAUAGGUGGGGCAG
rnacentral:misc_RNA from 1 species